UUUCCGGUUGAUCCUGCCAGAGGUCACUGCUAUCGAGGUUCGACUAAGCCAUGCGAGUCGAAUGUAGCAAUACACGGCGUACUGCUCAGUAACACGUGGAUAACCUACCCUUGAGUUGGGAAUAAACCCGGGAAACUGGGUAUAAUACCCGAUAGAUCUCGACUGCUGGAAUGCAUCGAGAUCCAAAGCUCCGGCGCUCAAGGAUGGAUCUGCGGCCUAUCAGGUAGUAGUGGGUGUAGCGUACCUACUAGCCUACGACGGGUACGGGUUGUGAGAGCAAGAGCCCGGAGAUGGAUUCUGAGACACGAAUCCAGGCCCUACGGGGUGCAGCAGGCGCGAAAACUUUACAAUGCUGGAAACAGCGAUAAGGGGACCUCGAGUGCCAGGUUACAAAUCUGGCUGUCGUGAUGCCUAAAAAGCAUUGCAUAGCAAGGGCCGGGCAAGACCGGUGCCAGCCGCCGCGGUAACACCGGCGGCUCGAGUGGUAACCGUUAUUAUUGGGUCUAAAGGGUCUGUAGCCGGCCGGAUAAGUCUCUUGGGAAAUCUGGCAGCUUAACUGUCAGGCUUUCAGGAGAUACUGUCUGGCUCGAGGCCGGGAGAGGUGAGAGGUACUUCAGGGGUAGGGGUGAAAUCUUGUAAUCCUCGAAGGACCACCAGUGGCGAAGGCGUCUCACCAGAACGGACCUGACGGCAAGGGACGAAAGCUAGGGGCACGAACCGGAUUAGAUACCCGGGUAGUCCUAGCCGUAAACGAUACUCGCUAGGUGUCGGCAACGGUGCGACCGUUGUCGGUGCCGUAGGGAAGCCGUGAAGCGAGCCACCUGGGAAGUACGGCCGCAAGGCUGAAACUUAAAGGAAUUGGCGGGGGAGCACCACAACGAGUGGAGCUUGCGGUUUAAUUGGAUUCAACGCCGGGA
rnacentral:rRNA from 1 species